GUUAUCUUUACUCAUGAUUUAGCACAUAGAUUUGUUUGCAAUUGUUUUUAUUCAGUGUGGAGUGGAUGAGCGCCGGACCAUAGAUGUGGAAAAAGAAUGAGGCAAUGGAUCCACACACAGUUUUGUUUUACUGUUUCGUUAAUUCUCUUGUCCUUCUCUUGAAGGUAAACCACGUAAAAGGCUUACAGCCUUCUGUAGGGAGACUUUUUUUAGUGUCCCUUCCCAAGAUGCCGUCAUAUGAAGGACAGCCCAAGUUGAUUUUCACUUUGUUGACGUUCGCUGACGAGCGUGUCGCGGUAACUAUCACGACUCCCCACUAUGCCAUUGAAGGGACGGAUCCUUUGAAUACACAAGUCGCUGUAUACAAGGAGGAGGCUUCUGUGUAUGAGGUUGACCGCCA